AUCCCUUGACAUGUCGUGCCAUCCGGAGAGAUCCGGGGUUCCCUUCGGGGACGCGAACACAGGUGCUGCAUGGCUGUCGUCAGCUCGUGUCGUGAGAUGUUGGGUUAAGUCCCGCAACGAGCGCAACCCACGUCCUUAGUUGCCAUCAUUCAGUUGGGCACUCUAGGGAGACUGCCGGUGAUAAGCCGCGAGGAAGGUGUGGAUGACGUCAAGUCCUCAUGGCCCUUACGGGAUGGGCUACACACGUGCUACAAUGGCGGUGACAGUGGGACGCGAAACCGCGAGGUUGAGCAAAUCCCCAAAAACCGUCUCAGUUCAGAUUGCACUCUGCAACUCGAGUGCAUGAAGGCGGAAUCGCUAGUAAUCGUGGAUCAGCAUGCCACGGUGAAUACGUUCCCGGGCC
rnacentral:rRNA from 1 species